UACGUAGGGUGCAAGCGUUGUCCGGAAUUAUUGGGCGUAAAGAGCUCGUAGGCGGUUUGUUGCGUCGGCUGUGAAAUCCCGAGGCUCAACCUCGGGUCUGCAGUCGAUACGAGCAAACUAGAGUGUUGCAGGGGGAGGCUGGAAUUCCUGGUGUAGCGGUGAAAUGCGCAGAUAUCAGGAGGAACACCGGUGGCGAAGGCGGGUCUCUGGGCAACAACUGACGCUGGAGGAGCGAAAGCGUGGGGAGCGAACAGG
rnacentral:rRNA from 1 species